GACGAACGCUGGCGGCGUGCCUAAUACAUGCAAGUUGAGCGCUGAAGGUUGGUACUUGUACCAACUGGAUGAGCAGCGAACGGGUGAGUAACGCGUGGGGAAUCUGCCUUUGAGCGGGGGACAACAUUUGGAAACGAAUGCUAAUACCGCAUAAAAACUUUAAACACAAGUUUUAAGUUUGAAAGAUGCAAUUGCAUCACUCAAAGAUGAUCCCGCGUUGUAUUAGCUAGUUGGUGAGGUAAAGGCUCACCAAGGCGAUGAUACAUAGCCGACCUGAGAGGGUGAUCGGCCACAUUGGGACUGAGACGCGGCCCAAACUCCUACGGGAGGCAGCAGUAGGGAAUCUUCGGCAAUGGACGAAAGUCUGACCGAGCAACGCCGCGUGAGUGAAGAAGGUUUUCGGAUCGUAAAACUCUGUUGGUAGAGAAGAACGUUGGAGAGAGUGGAAAGCUCAUCAAGUGACGGUAACUACCCAGAAAGGGACGGCUAACUACGUG
rnacentral:rRNA from 1 species